rnacentral:rRNA from 1 species
GUGCCAGCCGCCGCGGUAAUACGUAGGGACCUAGCGUUGUCCGGAAUCAUUGGGCGUAAAGCGCGUGUAGGCGGCUCGGCAAGUCCGAUGUGAAAGCCUGGGGCUCAACCCCGGGACUGCAUUGGAAACUGCCUUGCUAGAGUUCGGAAGAGGGGACUGGAAUUCCUGGUGUAGCGGUGAAAUGCGCAGAUAUCAGGAAGAACACCGGUGGCGAAGGCGGGUCCCUGGGACGAUACUGACGCUGAGACGCGAAAGCGUGGGGAGCAAACAGGAUUAGAAACCCUCGUAGUCC